GUGGGGAAUCUUAGACAAUGGGGGCAACCCUGAUCUAGCCAUGCCGCGUGAGUGAUGAAGGCCUUAGGGUCGUAAAGCUCUUUCGCUGGGGAAGAUAAUGACGGUACCCAGUAAAGAAACCCCGGCUAACUCCGUGCCAGCAGCCGCGGUAAUACGGAGGGGGUUAGCGUUGUUCGGAAUUACUGGGCGUAAAGCGCGCGUAGGCGGAUUGGAAAGUUGGGGGUGAAAUCCCGGGGCGCAACCCUGGAAUGGCCUUCAAGACACCCAGUCUUGAUGUCGAGAGAGGUGAGUGGAAUUCCGAGUGUAGAGGUGAAAUUCGUAGAUAUUCGGAGGAACACCAGUGGCGAAGGCGGCUCACUGGCUCGAUACUGACGCUGAGGUGCGAAAGCGUGGGGAGCAAACAGGAUUAGAUACCCGGGUAGUCC
rnacentral:rRNA from 1 species